GGGAAAUAUAUGUCAGGCAUCUCUAAAAAGCGUGUUACUGGAGAAUUUAUGAAAACUCGAGCAUCGUGAACUGAUCCUACUUCUCCUGCAUAACAGUGUGUAAAGAGGCUAUGUGAAUCACAUACAAGUUGAACAUUUAAGGAUGGAAAACCUUUCCGGUUUAUAUAAGAAGCUGUAUCAUUUGGUGGACCUCGAAUUUUAAUGUGUGUUCCAUCUAUAGCACCAAUGACAUUUGGAAAACCACAAGUUUUUUUAAAAUGUUCCAUAAUAUCAGUGGUAACAGUGUACUUGGGCCGUUUUAUAAAUCGAGGUGCAAUGCAAUGAAGUGCAAUACGUAGGAAACCGUUCCGAAUUAUUAAAGCGCUUCAUGUGCAUUGAUAAAACGGAACGAUUUCAAAGAGCUGUGCAGCAGAAAUGCAGUCUAUGCGUUUUAUGCGCAUUUUGGAACGCACCCAUGGUCGGUCGGGCCGGUAGUAACGAGGCGUAGGUGUGCCUCGUUACAAGGUGAUCAAACAUAUAUCAAUCGUAAAGGAUAUCAUUCAAUUCAUAUUCAGUGUUCUAGCAGGAUAUGCUGGAUCAGUACACGAUGCAAGAGUCUUAAGACUUUCUCCAGUAAAAAAUUUUAUUGACAAUCAUAAUAUAUAUUUCUCCGAUGAUUCUCAUUUAGUCGAAGAUGCUGCCUAUGGGAUACAUCCUCAAAUUAUGGUACCCUUCAAAGAUAAUGGGCACUUAUCAAAUAAACAAAAGAACUUCAACUUCUGCCUCUCUUUAGCUCGAGUGUCAAUUGAAAGAGCUUUCGUGCUGUGGAAAGUUCGAUGGCGCAGUGUAUUAGAUUGUCUAUCCAUGGUUACUCUGGAGAAGAUUUCAGAGUAUUUGAUUGGAACAUGUGUAUUACAUAACAUAUGUAUCCUGAGAAGAGAUAUGAUUGAUUUAAAUGAAACUGAGUAGGCGCAGUAGCAACAACAACAGCAGUUUCCUGAAGAGAGAUUAAUAAAUAGGGGAAUGGAAUGUGGACAAGCCAAAAGGGAAGCAAUUAUGAAUAAUUUAUGUAUGAGAAUUAAUAUGUAACUUUUAUGAGAAAAUGUAAUUGCAUUUUUUAAUUAUCGAAAACUUGUUAUAGUUUCAGCGUCACAGUUUGUGUUAGUUAUUGAGAACUUGUCACAGUUUAUUAAUGAAAUGUUCUAUAAAGAUUAUAUUUGUACAGAAGGACCUCACAACCCAUUUCUUAAUAAAUAAAAAAACAAUUGUUUUUU